UUGGAUGGCAAUUACUACGUUAUUGGCUGUGCUAUAUUAAGCAAUUUCAUGGUAAUUAGAUUUCAGUUAGAAGUCAGUGGCAGAAAACUACUCUCGUCAUGGUAAAUGUCCGGUUGUGAAUACUUUUUAGUUCGGACACAGAUUGUUUUAAAUAACUUUGGCAUAUAGCAAAGUUUAAUUUAAGGUCUACGAAGUUGCUGCAUUACACGGUCUGGGAACAUUUCCAAGUCUUUUAAAUAGAUAAAACCAUUGUCCUGAAAUAUAUUUUUAGAGCGUUAGAUUUCUUAUCGCUGCUCCCUUCUUGUCUAGACUCCUCUGGUUUUCUCUGAUU
rnacentral:sRNA from 1 species